UCCCUUGUCAUGGAUGCCCCUAAGUUUCGUGUGCUUGACAGCAAACCAUUCUUUAAUGACAUGAAAUACUUUCUCUUGCUGUGAUGUUUACCUGAAAAGGUUUUUCAACUACAUUGUCACCUUUGUGUAUCAAAUGCAAAAUAUAUCGCUAGGUUGAGGCUGAAGUAUCCUUUCUGCUGCUGCAAUUUAUCUUAAGUCAAUUGAAUUUAUAUAAGACAACCUUACAUGCUGUUAAGAACUUAGUUGCGCAGGCAUGCUAUUGAAAGGUCAUAGGACUCCAUCAGGCUUGAGACGAUAUGUAACUGCUGCAAUAAUAAGAAUGUUGAUCAUCAUAAUGGCAGAUAGGCUUUGUUGUCCAUGAUGGCUACUGCCAAAUCAUCUCUUUGACCCAACAUUUGAGAUUCAUAUGCAGGGUGGCAAGUUCAUCUUCAGAAUAGGAGAUUAGGUUUGCAGUACGUAUUAAGUCAGACCGAUAACUGAGAUUGAACUGGCCACUGCACAUAGACUGCUUCUGAGGUCCUUGCUGGUGACCUGAGAGUUGCCUAAAAAAUUAUGUGCACGUGCUUUCAGAAUCAUUGAUUUCAGGAGUUCAGGGGGCAAUAUUUAGGACAAAUGAGGAAUGAGCUGGAUCAGUCCGCAAUUGGUUUAGUUUACAGAUGUAAAUGGGAGUUUGUCUAAUUAAAUCUAUACAGCAGAUGCCCAAAACUUUGAACCUGUGAGGAAAAAGACUGAAAAAGCAAGUUAUCUUGACAGCUCGAAGAAGAGCAUUUGACCUUAAAUCGAAUUAUGAGGCUUGUCUGCUUUGUCAGUUUCGCAAUAUCCAUGAAGGAGCUGUCUCCACCUGCAAUAUCCUCCAAUUC
rnacentral:lncRNA from 1 species